rnacentral:rRNA from 1 species
UACGUAGGCAGCAAGCGUUGUUCGGAAUUACUGGGUGUAAAGCGCGUGUAGGCGGCAGACCAAGUCGGCGGUGAAAGCGCCCGGCUCAACUGGGCGAGGUCCGUGGAAACUGGUCAGCUGGAGGACGGUAGAGGCGAGUGGAAUUCCCGGUGUAGUGGUGAAAUGCGUAGAUAUCAGGAGGAACACCGGCGGCGAAGGCGGCUUCCUGGACCGAUACUGACGCUGAGACGCGAAAGCGUGGGGAGCAAACAGG